rnacentral:sRNA from 1 species
AAACAGAACACCCAAACCACAGAUUCCUAGAUUCUAGAUUCUACUGCCUGUGGAGACAGAGUCUAUAAUGGAUUGGCUGACCACGAUCCAGAGUCAGUAAUGAGGUGAGACACCUAAGACAACUCUGUAAUACUAGUCGGCUGAGAUGUCAUCGGUCAGGCCACAGAGCCAGGGCUGUCCUCCCGUGCAGUUCAAUCCUGCAGUUUGAGUGCUCUCCAUAGAUAACUGCUGGCACCCUUGACCCUACGACUAAGUCAUCAGAGCACCAGGUUUCAGGCCCAGUGCCUACAGGUAUAGAAGAGAAGAGAAAGCAAGCAAGGCAUAUCUGUGCACCACACACAUGCCUGAUGCCCACGGAAGUUACAAGAUGACAUGGAUCUUUUGGAAGUGGAGUUACAGACAGUUGUGAACUGCCAUAUGCUGCCUGAGAGGAAGGUGCUUUCUUCAUGCUAGGAAGAAAGAACACACUUCAAGGAGGAGUCAUGGCCCAGAGAAUUCUCUACAGAUGACUUUGUUGAAUUACACACAUCCUCCUUUAGCCACACUCCCAUCCCCCACUAACAGUCUCUUUCCCACAACUGCCUCACCUUGUUCAAUGUUAUAUCAUACAAAACAUGUUCUUGUAAAAAAUAUCUGUGGCUGGGUGAUGG